rnacentral:piRNA from 1 species
UAGGUGAAGGAACUGCCAUAUCAGCUCAAU